rnacentral:rRNA from 1 species
UACGAAGGGGGCUAGCGUUGUUCGGAAUUACUGGGCGUAAAGCGCACGUAGGCGGAUCGCUCAGUCAGGGGUGAAAUCCCAGAGCUCAACUCUGGAACUGCCUUUGAUACUGUCGAUCUAGAGUAUGGAAGAGGUGAGUGGAAUUCCGAGUGUAGAGGUGAAAUUCGUAGAUAUUCGGAAGAACACCAGUGGCGAAGGCGGCUCACUGGUCCGGUACUGACGCUGAUGUGCGAAAGCGUGGGGAGCAAACAGG